AAAAGGGCCAAUAGAAGAGAAAACUGUGGAAAAAGAAGGACAAGAAGGAAAAAAAGGGACUGAAAAAGAGAAAAGCCCUAAAGACAAAACUGUGGAAGAUGUCUUUCCAAAGACAACAAAUGUAGAAGAAGGACAAGAGGGAAAAAAAAGAG